rfam:Oryza glaberrima chromosome 2 Oglab02_0027_27, whole genome shotgun sequence.
AAUGUAUGACGCUGUUGACUUUUUGUCCAACGUUUGACCAUUCAUCUUAUUCAAAAAAUUUAUAUAAUUAUCAUUUAUUUUAUUAUGAUUUGAUUUGUCAUCAAAUGUUCUUUAAGUAUGACAUAAAUAUUUUUAUAUUUGCACAAAAAUUUUGAAUAAAACGAAUGGUCAAACGUUGGUCGAAAAGUCAACGGCGUCAUACAUU